GAUGAACGCUGGCGGCGUGCCUAAUACAUGCAAGUCGAGCGAACAGAUAAGGAGCUUGCUCCUUUGACGUUAGCGGCGGACGGGUGAGUAACACGUGGGUAACCUACCUAUAAGACUGGAAUAACUCCGGGAAACCGGGGCUAAUGCCGGAUAACAUUUAGAACCGCAUGGUUCUAAAGUGAAAGAUGGUUUUGCUAUCACUUAUAGAUGGACCCGCGCCGUAUUAGCUAGUUGGUAAGGUAACGGCUUACCAAGGCAACGAUACGUAGCCGACCUGAGAGGGUGAUCGGCCACACUGGAACUGAGACACGGUCCAGACUCCUACGGGAGGCAGCAGUAGGGAAUCUUCCGCAAUGGGCGAAAGCCUGACGGAGCAACGCCGCGUGAGUGAUGAAGGUCUUCGGAUCGUAAAACUCUGUUAUUAGGGAAGAACAAAUGUGUAAGUAACUGUGCACGUCUUGACAGUACCUAAUCAGAAAGCCACGGCUAACUACGUG
rnacentral:rRNA from 1 species